GAUGAACGCUGGCGGCGUGCCUAAUACAUGCAAGUAGAACGCUGAAGGAGGAGCUUUCUCUUCUGGAUGAGUUGCGAACGGGUGAGUAACGCGUAGGUAACCUGCCCGUUAGCGGGGGAUAACUCUUGGAAACGAUAGCUAAUACCGCAUGACAACAGUUAUUGCAUGAUAACUGUUUAAAAGGGGCAACUGCUCCACUACCAGAUGGACCUGCGUUGUAUUAGCUAGUUGGUGAGGUAACGGCUCACCAAGGCGACGAUACAUAGCCGAACUGAGAGGGGGGUAGGGCACACUGGGAAUGAGACACGGGUCAGACUCCUACCGGAGGCAGCAGGAGGGAAACUUCGGGAAUGGGCGGAAGGCUGAACGAGGAAAGCCGCGGGAGGGAAGAAGGUUCUCGGAUCGGAAAGAUCCGUUGUAUGGGAAGAAAGAGGGUGAGAGUGGAAAGUGCACACUGUGACGGUAUCUUAUCAGAAAGCGACGGCUAACUACGUG
rnacentral:rRNA from 1 species